UCUCUCUCGCUCUGCCUCUCUGUCUGGUAGGCGGACCCCCGAGCAGCAGCAGCAGCAGGGACUCGAACUCCUCGCCGCUGAUCGCCGGCAGCUGCGCGAACGACGCGACGCCGCCUCCUGAAGAGCCAUCCAGGCCGGACACGAGCCGCAGGAGACACCGGCCUCCACCGUAGGAAAGGGGGAGGAAGAGGAAAGGGAGUUUCCCGGGACUGGACGAAGACAAAGACGAGGAGGAGUCAGAAGUCCCGUUUGUCAUUCCUAUCUUUACUCCUCUGCUGUUUAAGCUUUCACCUCACGCCAGGCUUCUCUGGAUUCCUCUGCCACCCCUCCAUCCCUUACGUCUUCUUUUGUCCAACCCCUCCUCCUUUAUCCAUCCAUCCAUCCAUCCAUCCAUCCCAUGUCAUUUCCUCUCUUCCUCAUCCCCUGUUGCCUCACCCUUUGAAGCCAACAUGGCGGCCAAACUGAACCCCAACAUCCUGUAUGUGUCGGAGCCCAGUGAGACCCUGGGGUCACCACCAGCAGACUCUGAGCGGACUCACAUUGCAGCAGAGGCUGGAGAGGAGUCGUCAGACAGUGAUGGAGAACAAGAGGAAACUUCUCAUAAGUUGAUUAGGAAAGUGUCGACAUCGGGACAAAUACGGGCCAAGGUAAGACAGGCAUGAGAGGAGAGCUGUGUGUGUGUGUGUGUGAGAGAGAGAGAAGAUGAGACAGUGCUUGAAGACCUGAUGGACACAAACCAAAACUCCUCAUGGUAACAGUCUCUGUUGUCUUUGUUUAGGUCAGUAGUCCUCAUUUCCCAUUUAUCCAUCCUAGUCAAUUUGGCAGCUGACCAAGUCUCCCUCUUGUGGCAAAGAGCCGCUAGUUCAAUUUUAUGAUGAUGAUAGGCAACAUCCAUUCUUCAAUAGCAGACUGUAUUUUCAGAUCUAAUUUUCAGUUGGCUGGUUGUGUGUCACAUGACAUGAGGCUGUUGUAUCUAUGGUGGCUCCACAGUUCAUUCUACUUUGUGUUACUCUUGCUGGGAUUUCAGCCUGUUACGGGAAAAUAUUUUGGUUCACACACACACACACACACACACACACACACCCCUGUGUAGAUUGUGUUGAAAUAAUCAUCUGUUGUCUUUACUAUCGGUUACUUCAAACCUCACUGGAAUCUUUGAAAUGAAUAGACUUGGCCAGCAAAAUCCCAUCAUGCCGUGCUUGUUUCUGGGGCAGAUAAUGGUAUAGAAUAUCAUUAUGGUGUUGAUCAAUAAUCUCACCAGGCUGGGCUGUAAUGCAGCUGUGUUGAUGUAUGUGUGUGUGUGUGAGAGACAGAGAAUAUGUCUGAAAGGAAUAACCUCAUGUUGAUGAGUGAUAGUGAUGUCACCCAGCAGUUCAGCAGUUUCAUUGGUCACAAGUGAAGUCUCUGAGUGUGUGCUCUGUGCUGUCUGUCCUCCAGUGGACAGUCAGUGUUUACAGUGUGAUGAUUUGCUCUUUGUGAGUUGUCUAGGAAUCACUUGAUGGGA